UGCAAGAAAUGUUUUUGCGUUGCAUUUCCAAGAAACAAAGUGUAUUUUCACACCUGCCUCUUUUCAGCCUAAUAAAUAUCAGUCCAGUCAGCAUCUCUAACACUUCUGAUGCUUUCUGAACUCCAGAUCAGACUCUAGACCAGACUCAGACCAGACUCCUUCAUUUACACGAGCUCAAGAACAACGCAAAGGAUGAGAUCUGCAGCUCUUCUCUCGCUCCUCUUCAUUCUGGCUCUCAGUGAUGGAGCAGAUUGUCAGAGCUUUAAAGAAUUCAUGCGAAAACACAUUCUCCCAACUUCAUUUAAAACCAAUAAGGGAGAUUUGGGCGUUUGGGGGAAAUAUCUCUUGAAAAAUAAACUCUGUGGAAAAAUUGAAAAGCAAUCCUUCAUCAAGAGCAGUGAGGAAAACAUAAAACAAAUCUGUAACGGCUCCGGCAGUGUUUCAAGGAACUAUACCAAAAGUAAAGAUUUAUUUGAAGUGUACCGUGUUAAAAGCUCUGAGGGAAUAAAGCCAAAGUGUAUUGUUACCAGUUGUACUUCAGGCAAAUAUAAUGUUUUCGUGAAAUGUGAGAACAAAGAACCUGUGCACUAUGGACAUCAAGAGAUUGAACAGAACACAUAUCCACAGCCCUGCUAAUAAAGAGCAUUAUUUUUUUCCAGUGCAUUGGUAGUGUGGAUCCAAAGGAGGUUGCGUAAAAAUAUUGAUUUUAAUCAUUCAUUAAAAAAUAUUGCUAUACCACACAGAUGUUUGAACUGGAUAUAAAUGCUAAAACAUUUCAUUAAAGCUUUCUUUGCCGAAUGCAGUUCAAUAUUAUAAAAACAAACAAAAUGUAUAGCUUGAAUGCAAAGCAAGUCGCUUCAAAUAAAAGCAUCUGCCUAAAGCUUAAA